CGCGGUAUUUUGACCGUGCAAAGGUAGCAUAAUCAUUAGUCUUUUAAUUGAAGGCUUGAAUGAAAGGUUGGACGAGAAGCUAGCUGUCUUUAUUAGAAAUGUGGAAUUUAACUUUUAAGUGAAAGGGCUUAAAUGUUCUAAGGGGACGAUAAGACCCUAUAAAGUUUGACAUUUAUGCUUGAUAUAAAAUAAAUAAUAAAAUUUAUUAGAAGCUAUAUUGUUUUGUUGGGGUGACAGGAAUAUAAAUAAUUUAACUGUUUUAUAUUGAUACAAAGAUAUUUGUAAAGAAUAGGAUCUUUAUUAAGAGUGUAAGAGUAAAUUACUUUAGGGAUAACAGCGUAAUUUUUUUUGAGAGUUCUUAUCGACAAAAAAGUUUGCGACCUCGAUGUUGAAUUAAGAGUUCUUUGUAGUGCAGAAGGUAUAAAAGAAGGUCUGUUCGA
rnacentral:rRNA from 1 species